GAUGAACGCUGGCGGCGUGCCUAAUACAUGCCAGUCGAGCGAACAGAUGAGGAGCUUGCUCCUCUGACGUUAGCGGCGGACGGGUGAGUAACACGUGGAUAACCUACCUAUAAGACUGGGAUAACUUCGGGAAACCGGAGCUAAUACCGGAUAAUAUAUUGAACCGCAUGGUUCAAUAGUGAAAGACGGUUUUGCUGUCACUUAUAGAUGGAUCCGCGCCGCAUUAGCUAGUUGGUAAGGUAAAGGCUUACCAAGGCAACGAUGCGUAGCCGACCUGAGAGGGGGAUCGGCCACACUGGAACUGAGACACGGUCCAGACUCCUACGGGAGGCAGCAGUAGGGAAUCUUCCGCAGUGGGCGAAAGCCUGGCGGAGCAACGCCGCGUGAGUGAUGAAGGUCUUCGGAUCGUAAAACUCUGUUAUUAGGGAAGAACAAAUGUGUAAGUAACUAUGCACGUCUUGACGGUACCUAAUCAGAAAGCCACGGCUAACUACGUG
rnacentral:rRNA from 1 species